rnacentral:rRNA from 1 species
AUUGAACGCUGGCGGCAUGCCUUACACAUGCAAGUCGAACGGUGACAGGCCGCAAGGUGCUGACGAGUGGCGAACGGGUGAGUAAUGCAUCGGAACGUGCCCAGUCGUGGGGGAUAGCGCAGCGAAAGCUGUGCUAAUACCGCAUACGAUCUAUGGAUGAAAGCGGGGGACCGUAAGGCCUCGCGCGAUUGGAGCGGCCGAUGUCAGAUUAGGUAGUUGGUGGGGUAAAGGCCUACCAAGCCGACGAUCUGUAGCUGGUCUGAGAGGACGACCAGCCACACUGGGACUGGGACACGCCCCAGAUUCCUACGGGAGGCAGCAGUGGGGAAUUUUGGACAAUGGGCGCAAGCCUGAUCCAGCAAUGCCGCGUGCAGGAAGAAGGCCUUCGGGUUGUAAACUGCUUUUGUACGGAACGAAACGGUCUGGGUUAAUACCCUGGGCUAAUGACGGUACCGUAAGAAUAAGCACCGGCUAACUACGUGCCAGCCGCCGCAGUAACAC